ACUUUCCUUAUCUAAAUAUCUUGGCCAUGGGAAUACUCAAAAUGAAUACUGUUAAUUGCCUAAACUUCUUGGGCGAGAUACUAGCACAGAUGAAGCCUACCUUAGGGUGAGAGGAGUGACAGAACACUUGAGUCACAUCUUCUCAAGUUGAACAUUCAGUUCCAGAACUAAAACUUAAGAAGGUAUAGCAGUUUCUGCUUUUGAAGCUUUGAAAGCCAGAUCCUGUAAAAGGUUCGAUUACCCUGAGACCACCAGAUUGAAAAAAAGCCCAAACAGCUCCAUAGACGUGCACAACUGGAGAAGAACUGAAGAGUUUGGCUGUCAACACCAACUGAGCUUUCAGUCAGUAACCAGGAUCAACUCUCAGCCAUGGAGACUUGGCCCAUCUGGUCACUGAGGAAGACAGCAUUGCCGGCUUCCUAUCGACCUGGGAGGAGCAUGCUGCUACACAGAGGUGACCUCCAUCUCUCCACCUGGCACUGCUAUUGAAGAAAUCAGUUUCACAAGUGUGCUCAUUCAGAAAUAAAAACAACUUUGCACCAAGGUA